rnacentral:rRNA from 1 species
UACGAAGGUGGCAAGCGUUGUUCGGAUUUACUAGGCGUACAGGGAGCGUAGGCGGUUGGGUAAGCCCUCCGUGAAAUCUCCGGGCCCAACCCGGAAAGUGCGGAGGGGACUGCUCGGCCAGAGGAUGGGAGAGGAGCGCGGAAUUCCGGGUGUAGCGGUGAAAUGCGUAGAGAUCGGGAGGAAGGCCGGUGGCGAAGGCGGCGCUCUGGAACAUUUCUGACGCUGAGGCUAGAAAGCGUGGGGAGCAAACAGG